GUUAAAAACAAAAGAAGGAAGGUAUGUAGAAGAGGAUAAAGGUCUAGCUAACUGCCUCAAUUAAUAUUUUUAUUCUGUAUUUACAGAUGAAAAUGAAGGAAAGGGACCUCUGUUGAGAACAUGGAUAAAUGAGUCAUUUAUUGCACGUGAGUUUGCAGAGGAAGAGGUUCUAUUUCAACUGUCAAAAGUAAAGACAAAUAAGUCAAUGGGACCUGAUGGAAUACACCCAAAGCUAUUAAAAGAGCUUAGUGGUGUACUAGCAAAACCAUUAACAGAUUUAUUUAACCAAUCAUUGUUAACAGGAGUAGUCCCAGAAGAUUGGAAGUUAGCGAAUGUUGUGCCCAUUUACAAGAAAGGUAAUAGGGAGGAGUCGGGCAACUAUAGGCCAGUAAGCCUUACUUCAGUAGUGGGGAAAGUGAUGGAAACCAUGUUAAAGGAUAGGAUUGAUGAACAUCUAAAAACACAUGGAUUUCAAGAUCAGAGACAACAUGGGUUUACUUCAGGGAGAUCAUGCCAAAUGAAUCUUAUUGAUUUUUUUGAUUGGGUAACUAAAAUUAUAGAUUAGGGUGGUGCAGUAGACAUUGCUUACCUAGAUUUCAGUAAGGCUUUUGACACUGUUGCACAUAGAAGGCUUAUCAAUAAACUGCAAUCUUUAAGUUUGGAUUCCAAUAUUGUUGAAUGGGUAAGGCAGUGGCUGAGUGACAGGCAGCAGAGGGUUGUAGUUAAUGGAAUAUAUUCGAAGCUUGGACUUGUCACCAGGGAUCUGUACUUGGACCCAUUCUCUUUAAUAUUUUUAUUAGUGAUAUUGCAGAAGGUCUUGAUGGUAAGGUAUGUCUUUUGCUGAUGAUACUAAGAUAUGUAACAGGGUUGAUGUUCCAGGAGGGAUAAGCCAAAUGGCAAAUGAUUUAGGUAAACUAGAAAAAUGGUCAGAAUUGUGGCAACUGACAUUUAAUGUGGAUAAGUGCAAGAUGAUGCAUCUUGGACGUAAAAACCCAAGGGCAGAGUACAGAAUAUUUGAUAGAGUCCUAACCUCAACAUCUGAGGAAAGGGAUUUAGGGGUGAUUAUUUCUGAUAACUUAAAGGUAGGCAGGCAAUGUAAAAGAGCAGCAGGAAAUGCUAGCAGAAUGCUUGGUUGUAUAGGGAGAGGUAUUAGCAGUAGAAAGAGAGAAUUGCUCAUGCCAUUGUACAGAACACUGGUGAGACCUCACUUGGAGUAUUGUACACAGUACUGGAGACCGUAUCUUCAGAAGGAUAUUGAUACCUUAGAGAGGGUUCAGAGAAGGGCUACUAAACUGGUUCAUGGAUUGCGGGAUAAAACUUACCAGGAAAGGUUAAAGGAUCUUAACAUGUAUAGCUUGGAGGAAAGACGAGACAGGGGGGAUAUGAUAGAAACAUUUAAAUAUAUAAAGGGAAUCAACACAGUAAAGGAGGAGACUAUAUUUAAAAGAAGAAAAACUACCACAACAAGAGGACAUAGUCUUAAAUUAGAGGGACAAAGGUUUAAAAAUAAUAUCAGGAAGUAUUACUUUACUGAGAGGGUAGUGGAUGCAUGGAAUAGCAUUACACUGCAUCUGUCGGCUAGACAUCUUGCUGCCAUCUCUUUCCUAGGUAAAUGAUGCGCACCCAACCAUCCACCUUAUCUUAAUGAAAAUGGGAUUCAUCAGACCAGACAAU